UACGGAGGUUGCGAGCGUUAAUCGGAAUUACUGGGCGUAAAGGGCGCGUAGGCGGUUGGUUACGUCUGCCGUGAAAUCCCCGGGCUCAACCUGGGAAUGGCGGUGGAAACGGGCUGACUGGAGUAUGGGAGAGGGUGAUGGAAUUCCAGGUGUAGCGGUGAAAUGCGUAGAGAUCUGGAGGAACACAAGUGGCGAAGGCGGUCACCUGGGCCAAUACUGACGCUGAGGCGCGAAAGCGUGGGGAGCAAACAGG
rnacentral:rRNA from 1 species